rnacentral:rRNA from 1 species
GGCGACCGGCGCACGGGUGAGUAACACGUAUCCAACCUGCCGAUAACUCUGGGAUAGCCUUUCGAAAGAAAGAUUAAUACCGGAUGGCAUAGUUUUCCCGCAUGGAAAAACUAUUAAAGAAUUUCGGUUAUCGAUGGGGAUGCGUUCCAUUAGGCAGUUGGCGGGGUAACGGCCCACCAAACCGACGAUGGAUAGGGGUUCUGAGAGGAAGGUCCCCCACAUUGGAACUGAGACACGGUCCAAACUCCUACGGGAGGCAGCAGUGAGGAAUAUUGGUCAAUGGACGAGAGUCUGAACCAGCCAAGUAGCGUGAAGGAUGACUGCCCUAUGGGUUGUAAACUUCUUUUAUAUGGGAAUAAAGUUAGCCACGUGUGGUUUUUUGCAUGUACCGUAUGAAUAAGGAUCGGCUAACUCCGUGCCAGCAGCCGCGGUAAUACGGAGGAUCCGAGCGUUAUCCGGAUUUAUUGGGUUUAAAGGGAGCGUAGGCGGGGUAUUAAGUCAGUUGUGAAAGUUUGCGGCUCAACCAUAAAAUUGCAGUUGAUACUGGUAUCCUUGAGUGCAGCAGAGGUGGGCGGAAUUCGUGGUGUAGCGGUGAAAUGCUUAGAUAUCACGAAGAACUCCGAUUGCGAAGGCAGCUCACUGGAGUGUAACUGACGCUGAUGCUCGAAAGUGUGGGUAUCA